AUAUAUGCUGUAAUUCCCUGAAGGACUUUUUGUCCAAAAGACAUGUCUGAUUUUUCGAAAAGGUCUAGUCUAUAGUGCUUAAUGAAGGUAUGGAUACUAGACCAAGUAGCGGCUUUACAAAUUUCUUUUAGGG